CUUAUAUGAUGGAUUUGAUGAAGUAUUCCAAACUAGACUGAUGGAAAUGAUGCCUGGUGGAUGUUUAGGUUUUGUUUGCUUCGAUGAUAUUUACCUCUAUGCCGAGUGACUUUUCCGAGUAUAGUGAGAUCAUACACAUUUUUCAAUAUGUAAAUCAGUAGUACACCAUCAUAUCAGCUUUGAAAAAAACUUUCUUUUUUGCUACCUGUUGCAUUGUCAAAAAAAAAAGAACUUUCUUUUUUGCAUGGGGAAUUCAGACUCCAAAUCUGCACAAGUUAUCUUUUUACUUUGUUUAAGUUUCUCACCGAGUUUUUUCUCCUUGCUUUUCCUUUGUCUCUUCCUUUAAAAUUUCAAACAUUGCCUCAGUUUCUGGUUGCUUUCUCCUUUGAAUUGUUUGUCUUAAUCCAGCCUUAACAGCCCAAUCCCACAUUUCCAUCAGCGGAGAGUGUGUGGACCUUUCACCCUUACUGUUAUACUUGAAUUUAACAAUUUCCGUGUAAUAAUCACACAUUUCCAUCAGUGGAGAGUGUGUGGACCUUUCACCCUUACUGUGUGGUGAGUGUGUGGACCUUUCACCCUUACAAUUUCCGUGUAAUCUUAAAAGUUAACAUGAGCCACCAUCUGGUAUUUGUAGAGAAUCUUGUAUCCUCGUCAUAAGUGAUUAUGCUAGAUUGAUUUAAGUUUCAUAUGGAGUGGGAGUCUUGCAUGCC
rnacentral:lncRNA from 1 species